CUUUGAUGAAAUCUCGAGAAAGAAGCAUCAUAUGGUGGCAAGAAUGAGAGGCUGAGUCAGAUCUACUCUGGUUCUGCUGCCAAUGCACAUGUAGAUGGUCUACAGUCUUCAACGAACUCAUUGUUCUCUGGAUUCCGUUGGGGCUCAGCCCAUGGCAAACCCAGAAGGAAACCAAAGGGAGGAAGGGAAGCAGGACGCACAGGCCUCAGAACCGAAGGUUGGAGCUGGAAGUGGUCUCUCUUACUAUUACAUGAUACACUUGAAGAAUAUUUGCUUUUUGUCCCUGUGACCUUGGCCUCUGUGGAUUUGAAGAUCCUAGUGCCCAAGGGAACAAAGCGAAGAAUGGGGCUAUUGUGCUGACUGGGGUCAUUGAUCCCCAUUACCAGGGAGAAAUUGUGUUGCUGCUACAAGAGGAUGGCAGAGAGCUGUGUGAAGAGCACAGAGGAUUUGCUGGAUGCCUCCUACUACUCAAUUGUCCAGUCAUCCUUGUCAAUGGGGAGUGGUAGCCACAGAAUAAAAUAAGACCACUAAGGAUGCAAAUCCCAUAAGAAUAAAGGUUUGAGUCCCUCCUACCAGGAAAAGAACUCCAUCCAGCUGAGAUGCUCCCAGAGGAUAAGAGAAACACGAAGUGAAUGUGGAAGAAAACAGAUAUGAUCACCACCUACUUAGACCUCAUGUGCAGUCACAGAAGCAGGGAGGGUAAUAGGUAUGUUUCAUAUUAAUUACUUACUUUUCCAUUAAUUACUUACUUUUCCCUUAUCCUAGCCAUCUGAUACAAAGAACACCAGUGUUAACUAAUAUUUCAGGUUUCAGGUGGAACCAUGACUGACCAGACAUUUUCCUGUAAUGUGGACUCUAAAUGUCUCCUGUAACAGGGACACAAGUUUGCACCUGCAUUAAGAGCAAAAGAUGAGGGGCGCCUUGGUGGCUCAGUCAGUUAAGCAUCUGCCUUUGGCUCAUGUCAUGUUCCCAGGGUCCUGGGAUUGAGCCCCACGUCGGGCUCCCUGCUCAGUGGGGAGCCUGCUUCUCCCUAUCCCUCUGCCUGCUAUGCCCCCUGCUUGUGCUCAUGCUUUCUCUCUCUGUCAAAAAACAAAAAACAAAAAACCCCCAAAAACAAACAAACAAACAAAACAGCAAAAGUUGAUGCUGAAGGAGGAAGGGGCUGGACCCUGCUGAGUAUCUUCUGUUCACGUCUCCAGAUCCAAUCUCCAUUCUCCUCUUCCCCACUCUGUGCUCUAAGAGGAGAGCCUUCCUGGGAAAUGUGGAAGUCUCCCUUGCCUUCUGUUUCUGAAUAGGUUCAAAUUAUGGGGACACCUACAAGGAGACUAGAGGGAGGGAUAGGAGGGAGGUUGGAAUGUUGAUUUCCAGGCACCCUCUCUGAGGAGGUUGCUGCCUGGUGGCUGUUUUAGUUAGCUAUCAAAAAACUAACUGACUGGGGCACCUGCAUGGCUCAGUUGGUUGCCUCCAGUUCUGGUCUCAUGAUCCCAGGGUUGGGCUUCCUGCUCAGGGGAAGUCUGUUUCUUGCUCUCCCUCUGCCUCUCCUCUUGCUCGUGCUCUCUCUGUCAAAUAAAUAACUAAAAUCUUUUAUUAAAAAAAAAAAGAAACCUGACUGACUUAGCAGUGCGUGGGUGCCCCAGUGGGUUAAGCAUCUGACUCUUGGUUUCAGCUCAGGU